UUUUUUUCAAAAAAUCAUUCAUUCCUCCUCUCACAAAAAAAAAAUUGAUAUGCUCUCUCUUCCCCUCCUUUCUUCUCCCCAAAAUCCGGCGAGGAGAGCCGUCGUCGACACCGCCGCGCCGGCCACCGUACACGGUGGCCAAAAAAAUCAAAAAAGGUAAAUUUUUCUCCUUUUUUAUUUCUUAUUUCUUAUGCAAAAGAUAAAAUAAAAAAAGAAAAGAAAAGAAAACAAGCAGAAACGCAAAUCUGAAAAAAGAAAGUCACCUUCAAAAAUCUGUUUUGUUUUUUAUUUUUUUAUUUCAAUAAUCGUAAAAGCAAAGGAAGAAGAAGUUAUUCCUUACAGUAGAUUCAGUUUUAACUGAAAGAAAAGAAAAAUAAAAGAGAGAAAAAAAGAAAUUCC
rnacentral:lncRNA from 1 species